UGCUAAUUAUAAUAGAUUUUAAAAGUAUUUUUUUAUUAAUUAAAUUAUAAUCCCCUUGAUGGUUUACUGUGAAUUAGAUAAGGAAUUAAAUAUUGAUAACCAAGGAAUUAAAUAGGGCUAAAAUAAUGAAAAAUUAAUUGACUAAAUUACUUACCUGCUCUGUUGUACACUGUGGCUGGGUUUUGCCAACAUAAACUGAAAUGUGCAAAACAAGGUAGUGAAGGGGAGGUUUUGUUCCCAUUGUUGUGUCCCAUUUCCCCAUGCUGUGAAAAGUUGUUGCUUCUCAUAGCAAGAGUCUUGUGGUUUACAGGUGCAAGGCCAUGAGAACAGGAGCAUGAAAACAAUGGCAUGAGAAAACUGAAGGCAAAAUAUUGCAGAGGCUUUGGGAAAUACUGCCUCAGCAGCUUCAGAGAAAGGUCAUAGCAAUGAAAGUCUCGAUAAUUGGAAGAAAGUCCACAAGACCACUAAUUCUUCCCCAGAGGAAAGAGGAGUUCAGCUCUGUGUUGCUCGGAGAGUCCUUCCCUAGGGAGAGCCACAGGCUGCAUGUUUGUCUCUGCUGUAUCUCUUUAUGGAUCCUGAACUCUGAAUUCUCUGUUGGUAACCAUUGGAGGAAACAAAGCUGAGCUACCUCUACUGAAAAGCAGAACUCUACCAUUUAUCAAUUCAAACUAUCCUCAACUGUUAAGGAUAGAUGUCACAUAAAGAAACAGUUGAGUAGUGCUACAGCAGACUGUUGACUCAUAUGGGAAUAUGGGAAUAAUGAUAAUACAGGAGCAACAUAGGUCACUUUAGUAAACAGUAAUUGCUGUUGAAAGGCAAUGUAAAGGAAAAUCUAUAUAGCUUUGACUUAUUUGUAGACUAUACAAAGUCAAGACUCCACUUAAAUAGUGGAAAAUCUUUCCAUAGAAAAGAAUGGCAAAACUCCAAAACAGAAGCUAGCUGAGAAAAAUAGUAGUACCGUGGCAAUAGCUCUAAGAGAUGAGUGGAUGACAGUGAGAAAGAGUUCUGAGCCUCCAUCCUUUUUCCACUUGAUAUGCCUGAGUAGUUUUCUAUGCACUCAUUAGUUUCCCACACAACCAUCUUCUCCUUACAAUAUGUAGCUUGGAAGACAGUGCAUGUAAGGGAAACAUUCAUUUUAAUGCAUUCACAGCAAGAUGAGAGCACUCUCAUAUACUCAGGAUGUUGUUGUUUGACACGAUAAAUUACAGUUCCAGGCCCUUCACUGGGAAGAGCUGACUGGUGCCUAGUUACGCAGGUGCAAAGGUGUCCUGAGAAACAGCACAUGCAACGGGACUGGUUAGCACAAUGGUCAAGGUCAAAAACAGUGCAGUUGCAGACAACACAGACCAAGUGAGAUUCAUUAUGUGGUCUAGGAACUUGGGACUCUGUGAUAAUAGGAAGCUGAUUCACUUUAAUGAGGUGGAUGUAAAUAUCAACUCCUUUGCACCACUGUAUAUCUUAUCUCUAAAAGAUUCCAACUGAGCUGAGUGGAAUAAUUCCUUUGACAAGCUGCAGGUGUUCGGCCUGGCAUGUAUUCUCUGACUACUUGGGGUUGCUUUACCCCGGUUGUCUACAGUAGAUCUUACAAUACAAAUGAUUUAAUUUUUCAGUGGGAAAAAAACCCACCCCAACAUGGGGCUGAAAUGCCUUCUGUCAUCCAAUGAAAGGAAAGGAUAAAGCAUACAGUACACAGAGCUGCUUUAUAUGAUUAUAGCAACUUGAGUUCUGAAAGAAAGGAGGCUCAGAAGAGAUUUC